rnacentral:rRNA from 1 species
AUUGAACGCUGGCGGCAUGCUUUACACAUGCAAGUCGAACGGCAGCGCGGGCUUCUGCCUGGCGGCGAGUGGCGAACGGGUGAGUAAUGCAUCGGAACGUGCCCAGUCGUGGGGGAUAGCACGGCGAAAGCCGGAUUAAUACCGCAUACGACCUGAGGGUGAAAGCGGGGGACCGAGAUUCCUCGCGGUAUUGGAAUGGCCGAGGUCGGCUUGCACAGUUGGUGGGGUAAAUGCUUACCAAGGCGAGGAUCCGUCGCUGGUCUGAGAGGACGACAAGCCAAACGGGCACUGAGACACGGCCCAAACUCCUACGGGAGGCAGCAGUGGGAAAUUUAGGAAAAUGAGGGCAACCCGGACCCAGACAUGCGGGGUGCGGAAAGAAGGCCUUCGGGUUGUAAACCGCUUUGGUUCGGGAAGAAAUUGUCUGGGCUAAAACCCCGGGGGGAUGACGGUACCGGAAGAAUAAGAACCGGCUAACUACGUG